rnacentral:rRNA from 1 species
CAAGCGAAAGCAUUAAGUAUUCCACCUGGGGAGUACGCCGGCAACGGUGAAACUCAAAGGAAUUGACGGGGGCCCGCACAAGCGGAGGAACAUGUGGUUUAAUUCGAUGAUACGCGAGGAACCUUACCCGGGCUUAAAUUGCACCUGAAUAAUGUGGAAACAUGUUAGCCGUAAGGCAGGUGUGAAGGUGCUGCAUGGUUGUCGUCAGCUCGUGCCGUGAGGUGUCGGCUUAAGUGCCAUAACGAGCGCAACCCUUAUCUUCAGUUACUAACAGGUCAUGCUGAGGACUCUGGAGAGACUGCCGUCGUAAGAUGUGGGGAAGGUGGGGAUGACGUCAAAUCAGCACGGCCCUUACGUCCGGGGCUACACACGUGUUACAAUGGGAGGUACAGAAGGCCGCUACCUGGCGACAGGAUGCCAAUCCCCAAAACCUCUCUCAGUUCGGAUCGAAGUCUGCAACCCGACUUCGUGAAGCUGGAUUCGCUAGUAAUCGCGCAUCAGCCAUGGCGCGGUGAAUACGUUCCCGGGCCUUGUACUCACCGCCCGUC